rnacentral:rRNA from 1 species
UACGGAGGGUGCAAGCGUUAUCCGGAUUUACUGGGUUUAAAGGGUGUGUAGGCGGGCUUUUAAGUCAGUGGUGAAAUCUCCGGGCUCAACCCGGAAACUGCCAUUGAUACUAUUAGUCUUGAAUUUUGUUGAGGUAGGCGGAAUAAGUCAUGUAGCGGUGAAAUGCUUAGAUAUGACUUAGAACACUAAUUGCGAAGGCAGCUUGCUAAACAAACAUUGACGCUGAGGCACGAAAGCGUGGGGAUCAAACAGG